rnacentral:rRNA from 1 species
AGUGAACGCUGGCGGCAGGCCUAACACAUGCAAGUCGAGCGGAUGAAGGGAGCUUGCUCCUGGAUUCAGCGGCGGACGGGUGAGUAAUGCCUAGGAAUCUGCCUGGUAGUGGGGGAUAACGUCCGGAAACGGGCGCUAAUACCGCAUACGUCCUGAGGGAGAAAGUGGGGGAUCUUCGGACCUCACGCUAUCAGAUGAGCCUAGGUCGGAUUAGCUAGUUGGUGGGGUAAAGGCCUACCAAGGCGACGAUCCGUAACUGGUCUGAGAGGAUGAUCAGUCACACUGGAACUGAGACACGGUCCAGACUCCUACGGGAGGCAGCAGUGGGGAAUAUUGGACAAAGGGCGAAAGCCUGAUCCAGCCAUGCCGCGUGUGUGAAGAAGGUCUUCGGAUUGUAAAGCACUUUAAGUUGGGAGGAAGGGCAGUAAGUUAAUACCUUGCUGUUUUGACGUUACCAACAGAAUAAGCACCGGCUAACUUCGUG